rnacentral:rRNA from 1 species
AUUGAACGCAGGCGGAAUGCUUUACACAUGCAAGUCGAACGGCAGCACGGGGGCAACCCUGGUGGCGAGUGGCGAACGGGUGAGUAAUACAUCGGAACGUGCCCAGUCGUGGGGGAUAACGUAGCGAAAGUUACGCUAAUAGCGCAUACGAUCUACGGAUGAAAGCGGGGGACCGUAAGGCCUCGCGCGAUUGGAGCGGCCGAUGUCAGAUUAGGUAGUUGGUGAGGUAAAGGCUCACAAAGCCGACGAUCUGUAGCUGGUCUGAGAGGACGCCCCGCCACACUGGGACUGAGACACGGCCCAGACUCCUACGGGAGGCAGCAGUGGGGAAUUUUGGACAAUGGGCGCAAGCCUGAUCCAGCCAUUCCGCGUGCAGGACGAAGGCCUUCGGGUUGUAAACUGCUUCUGUACGGAACGAAAAGGCUCUGGUUAAUACCUGGGGCUCAUGACGGUACCGUAAGAAUAAGCACCGGCUAACUACGUGCCAGCAGCCGCGGUAA